rnacentral:rRNA from 1 species
UUCGCAAUGCCCGAAAGGGUGACGAAGCGACGCCGCGUGUGGGAAGAAGGCCUUCGGGUUGUAAACCACUGUCGGGAGUUAAGAAAUGUAAGGGUGUUAAUAGCAUUCUUACUUGACGUUAGCUCCGGAGGAAGCCACGGCUAACUCUGUGCCAGCAGCCGCGGUAAUACAGAGGUGGCAAGCGUUGUUCGGAAUUAUUGGGCGUAAAGAGCACGUAGGCGGCCCUGCAAGUCAGCUGUGAAAUCCUUCUGCUCAACGGAAGAACGGCAGUUGAUACUACAGGGCUCGAGUGCGGGAGGGGAGAGUGGAACUUCUGGUGGAGCGGUGAAAUGCGUAGAUAUCAGAAGGAACAUCGGCGGCGAAAGCGACUCUCUGGCCCGUAACCGACGCUGAGUGUGCGAAAGCUAGGGGAGCAAACGGGAUUAGAUACCCCGGUAGUCCUAGCCGUAAACGAUGGGCACUAAGUAGAGGGGUUUU